AUUUAGAAUAAUCCGAGCAGGAGGGCAGCCAGGCCCAGGUGCCUGAUGGAAGCUUUAUGAAGUCACUCAUGGAGGGACGAUGGGAACUUCCAGCCACACUGCCUGUGGCUUCCACAUUCUUCAGCAGGCCCCUCAUAAGAUCAUCACAAGCAACACAGAGAAAUGUUGGCCUGCUGAAAAUAGAAGUGCAGAGACUCUCUCCCGUGACAGAAUGAGGCGUGGAGGAUUCGCAGAACUGUUUCCUCAAGGGCCCCAUAGUGAUACCGUCUUUUAUUCCUUUUAGUAGCCUCAUCAGUGCCCUGAAUGCAGUGACUUGUGUCAGGACAGCGUUCUCCAUGCUGGCUGCGGGUGACGGCCUGAGCCCCGGUACAGUAUUCCUGCUGGCCUCAGACCGCCCUCCCAGGCAAAACCUGGGGCCAGCCUGUCUGCAGUCUGAAAUGCCCUCCAGAUUAUCCUAAAUGUGCAUGUUAAUGACCAUCAGAUCUGAGAGCUGGUGGAGAAAUUAAGAUAAAUAGA
rnacentral:lncRNA from 1 species